GUUAAAUUAUAAAGUUCAUAAAUUUAAUAAAUUACAAGGAAAAAUAUACACUUACAUGACAAUUAAAGCACUAAAAAAAAUCAAUAUACUGUCAUCUUUCAUCCAUAUAUCAGAGCUCUAAAAAAUCUAUCAAUGUUUAUCUAAUUGCCUAAUUAUGAAUUACAGCAUUUCUUCCAUACUCGAACAAAUAACCAAUAGCAAAGUAAUAGGUACCCACCACAUCCGUUGCAUCACAACUUUCAACUUCUUACUCUCCUUUUGAAUUUUGAUCCAAGCUUUAUAAAUCUAAUAAAUAGAAGAUGCAUAUUAGUAUACUAUAAUCAUGCAAACAGUUAUGUUUACGGAUUACAUUUGGGAAUUAUUAAUAAAGAGUUGAUAGCCGAACUUAAACAAUAAGGCUAUCAUUUUUUCCAAGAUUGGAGUUUGAUGAAGCCAAUUAGAUUUUUGUUUUCCCUUUUUAUACCUCACCACAAUAAAAAUGUGUGGUUUGCUAAAAUCUCUCCUAAAUCCUAUAUCUCUACAUGUAAUUUUAAUUGCAAAAGGCAUGCACCAUUCUUUUGCACAUGUUCUUGUCCUAUGAUUUUUCCUUAAAGCCUUUAAGUUAAAUAAUUUUUGCACCAUUAAGCAAAUCAUUAAAGACAAUAAUACUCAUAGAAGCAUUGUCACAAACAUAUGACCUGCAUAAGAGUAAUAAGUAGAGAAUUACCAAUUUGCCAAACAAAUGCUUCAUUUACCCACAAAAGUCAGGUCGUUUGUUCCCUUCCAUGUAACAAGUUUGGGUAAAUUACUAAAUCAUCAUUGCAA
rnacentral:misc_RNA from 1 species